CUCCUCUCAGGGUCGCACCUGAGAGUUUCCAAUACUCUAUCAGACUCGACUAUGGGAGGGAGAGUCAAGCAGAUGCAUGCCCAUUCCAUUGCUAGCUUGGCCAGUGGCUAGCAAGUGGAAGGCAAUUUGCUACAAGU